rnacentral:rRNA from 1 species
UACGUAGGGGCCGAGCGUUGUCCGGAGUUACUGGGCGUAAAGCGCGCGCAGGCGGCUCGUCAAGCCUGACGUGAAAGCCCCCGGCUCAACCGGGGAGGGUCGUCGGGGACUGGCGGGCUUGAGGUCGGCAGGGGUUGGUGGAAUUCCCGGUGUAGUGGUGAAAUGCGUAGAGAUCGGGAGGAACACCCGUGGCGAAGGCGGCCAACUGGGCCGGACCUGACGCUGAGGCGCGAAGGCGUGGGGAGCGAACGGGG